CCCGAGCUAGCUACACUUAAUAUAUAAUUUCACAGUUGAGAGCAGAGUAUACAUUAAAGAUGAUGCAGAAGCAGACGUUGGCGAUAGCUCUGGCGUGGCUCCUGGUUGCGUCGUCAAUCAUGAUGUGCGAGUACGCAGCUGCAGACACUACUCCAUUGAAAACUGCUGACCAAGUUCUCCAUCCCCUAGCAGGUAAGAACCAACAUCCGAUCCUUUUGCUUUCGCAUCUGAUAUUCUGCAUGCAUAGUAUAUAUAUAUAUAUAUAUAUAUAUAUAUAUAUAUAUAUCUUGAAUGCAUGCAUGCAUGUGCAUUUACGUAAUAUAUAGUAAUUUAGAGUGUAUAUAUAUAUAUAUAGAGAGAGAGAGAGAACUAACUAUAUAUGCUUGCUAAUGGAUACAAUAUACACUACUUGAAGGUUGUCGCUGCUGCAACUUCAUUCGUGUGAAAGGGUUUAUCCAAUGCGGAACAGUUUGUUGUGUGGAUGGAUGUUGCGGUCGCAAGUGAAGCACCUGCAAUGCAGCUACACAGACAAUAAUAUGAAUCAUGGUGGUGGUGUUGCACAAUAAGAUGAAUAAUGGUGGUCAAAAGUUGCAACAUCGCUGAAGCAAUCAAAGCCCCCCUUAUAGAUUUCCCUGUUUGUUUGUUUUGCAUUCCUAUCGAGUUAUAUAAUGUUUGUCGAAAAGAUCCUGUUUAAUGAAAAAUUAAUGUCUGGAAAUCUGGGUGUUUCAGCAGGAUUUCUUUACGUUGAUGUAUCAUGUAUGUAUGUCUACAUGAGGAUAUAUCUAUCUAUAUAAAAGCGAUCGACUCGUUAAUCUAAAAGUAUCAUUCAUUUCAAGAGUUUGAUUCACAAUCUGUCAUGCCUACUAAUUUCAAGGAACAACUAGAUGAACUGCUGACACAAGAAAAACUGUUUAUGCUCCAUACCAACCCAAACAUACAAAACUGCACCUUUUUAUAGUCAUUUCAUGAUACUUACUUACCAUAUGAAUACAGAGUAUAAAACCCCCUUUUUUUGGAAUACAAAGUUUAAAAAUAGAUCAAUCAUUCUCAAUGGGAUCGAUUCUUAUUUGCAUUAAUUAAUACAUAAAUAUUUUUUGCAGUAAGAUUUUCUUCAGGGACAGAGCCAGAAUUUGUUCUUUGGAGGGACCAAAAAUUUUUUUAACAUCAUAAAAUAUAUUCAUUACUAAAAAGUAAAAUUUCACUAUUACAAAACAUAUUUUUACUAAAACAAAAAUAAUAUAUUAAUAGAAUUUGCUUUGACAAAGAUAAUGAAACAUAGAAAAAAAAAGUAUUUUAAAACAUAUCAAAACUUCGUCAAAACUUGGGGAGCUAUAGUCUUGCACAAUUUUCAAAACAAACUAAAUGUACAAGUGAAUUUUAUAAAUUUUCAAACUUUGGGGUGAAUCUUACUGUUAACACCAAGAUCUUCUGUCACGUCCCAAUCACGUAAGACAUUCUGAUCAUGCACAAUAAACACAGUCAACACCAAAAGCUUGACGGCUUGACCGUCGGGGGAUAGCUCCGGCGUGAGAGUCAGUACAGACGAUCACAAGGUUAACAAUGACGGAAUAAAUAUCUAGUGACUUAAGAGCAAUAAUUAAUUAGUUACCUUUCACCGUGUGUCAUCCUUGCUUUAUAUCCCCAAAGUCCGGUUUGUCAUGUAUGCAACUGACUUUUCGGGCCCACCGUUUUUAGCCAACUAAGCCCUGUCCAAUCCUCAUUAAAUGCAAUGCAGAGAUGAUAGUCAAAGUUCUAUCCCCAAUCUACACCGGUCAAAGCCCAAGUGGAACCAUACUCAUCUAGUAAUUCGGCCCACUGUCACAGCCCAAUAUUUCAUAAGCCCCAAAAUAAAGAUAAUAUCCACCCAAUGGGUUAGCCCAAUGAACCGGCCUAAUACUUUCAAGACCCACCUCAACAUGUUUAAAGUAUUAUGGCCCAACACUUACAAAAAUUUCAAACCUUAGGGGGGCCGUGGCCCCCUCCAACCUCCAUGUAGCUCCGUCCCUGAUUUUCUUUUUGGUUGCCUGUGACAUCACACCAUGGGAUCGACAUUCUUCUCAUCAUUAUACUUUUUGUUGACCGUGUAUAAUUGCACGUAUUUACUGAUUGCGAAAUUGGACAACAAGAUUUAUAAAAGGCAAGCAAAUUCAAUCCAAUAGUAACGAUCAAGAUUAAAAAAAGUUGAAUUGUUCUCAAACUCACAAGAGAUCUACUGUACGAUAUAGAACAACAUGUUCUGUUGCUAAGUCUUUCAUUACUAACUUCAAGCUACUUAGCAACACCCCAAAUCACACUAUCUCUUAGUGAUUGUUUAGGUCUUAGUGAUCCAUUGUAUCCAAGUCUUAGUGACUUGAAGAGUUCUUAGUGAUCUACUGUAUGUAAGUGUUUGUGACUUGAAGAAAUUUUAGUGAUUUAUUGAGUGCAACUAUUAUAUGUGAACAUCUGUGUGAUCAGUCAUCCUUAGUGAAAAAGUAGAAGAGUGAACUAUAAAACCUUUGUAUUCUGAAUCAUUUAAAAUUUGUGUGUCCCCUUUAUAUUCUGCACUUACUUUUCUGUCAACUUCUUUAAUUUGUUUGAGAUUUAAUUCCAAUUGAUUGCUAAAUUCAAAAUUACAAAUUCUUUCAAAUUUUUGAAGGGAUUUUUCAAAUUAUUAUUCCGCAAUGCAUAAUUAUAAAUUAAUCUGCUUAAUUUAUAAAUCGGUAAUAAUUUCUUUUAAAAAAAUUUAAAAUCUAUUUAACCCACCUCUAAAUCUCUUGGUGCAUUUGGAAUAUAACAAAAACUUUGACACUUCCUGUGGGUUCUAUCCAGUGGAAAGAUAAUCACAAAAAUUUCUCUAGUCAAAGGGCAGAUAUGUAAAACGAAAGGGCCUACCUUACCCACUUUUAAGUCGCAAGUAAAUUGCCUUAAAUAUUUAAUAACUUGCAAAAGUGACUCCAAUAGAAAGAUUUCUAUCUAUCAAUCUGGCAAACGUGGAAUUCACUACUGAGGAGUAAUGGGAAAUGGACUCGAGUCAUGGGAAACGUGGAAUUCCAAAUGGAUGAUUUCAUUUAUUUUAAAUUAUUUAUCGUUUUAUAUAAUUUACAAGAAUUAAUUACAAUUUUUUUUAAAAUUACUUCUCAUAAAAAAUUGUUAUAGAUGUGAAAUAAAUAUGAUAAUAAAUGAGAAUUUAAACGUAUUAUAAAUAUUUGAUAUUAUAUUUAAUCAUUUAUUUAAUUCUUGUACACAACUUUAAAACAUCAGAAAGGGGACCAUGCUCGUGAGUUUUUUCACUUCAAUUACCAAGAGAAACCAAUUAGGAAAUGACCGACAAGCAGGCCUAUGGAAUAUCUUUAAAAUAUGAGUAAUGCUACAAACACAAACUAUUUUACAAAUAUUUUACAAACUGCUGAUGUGGCAUACUCCACAUCACCAUAUUGAUUAACGACUUGUUUAAAUAUAGUCUUCGGCCCCACACAAUAUGCUGAGAUGGAAUACUUUGUGUCUUUAGCAUUAUUCUUAAAAUAUUAUUCGACUAUAAAUAAAAUAAAAUAAAAUAAAAACACAACAACUUGAACGUACGUCAAGACAAGACAAUAGUCAAGGACUUAUUGAUUCUUGUUUUGUGGAAGAAUAUAAGUACACUUGGGUGAACAACACCCAAGCUAUUGAUAUUGAAUGUGAAUGUAAAUCAAGUUGCGGCCUAACAUGGACAAAUGAGUAAUGGCUGAUUGACCAGCUGGAAAUUAAGAAUCGCUCUCCUCAAUCUCCUAUUUGCUUUAUAAAUAGAAUGCAAGAGAAGAGGGGAAAAUUAUAUACCCGAGCUAGCUAGCUACACUUGAUAAUUUCACAGUUGAGAGUAGAGUAUACAUUAAAGAUGAUGCAGAAGCAGACGUUGGCGAUAGCUCUGGUGUGGCUCCUGGUUGCGUCGUCAAUCAUGAUGUGCGUGUUCGCAGCUGCAGACACUACUCCAUUGAAAACUGCUGACCAAGUUCUCCAUCCCCUAGCAGGUAAGAACCAACAUCCGAUCCUUUUGCUUUCGCAUCUGUUCUACAAAUUAAUAUUAAUCUGCAUGCAUACUAACUAUAUAUGCUUGCUAAUGGAUACAUAUAUAUACACUACUUGAAGGUUGUCGCUGCUGCAACUACAUUAAAGUGAGAGAGUUUUUCAAUUGCAACAAAGUUUGUUGUGUGGAUGGAUGUUGCGGUCGCAAGUGAAGCACCUGCAAUGAAGCUACACAGACAAUUAUAUAUAAUAUGAAUCAUGGUUGUGUAGUUGCACAAUAAGAUGAAUAAUGGUGGUCAAAAGUUGCAACAUCUCUGAAGCAAUUAAUCAACCNNNNNNNNNN
rnacentral:lncRNA from 1 species